AAUGAGAAUCAUCUUGAACUUAGUAUUUUUAGUUUCAAUUUGUGCAUUUUUUGCAAUAAUUAUGGCUCAGAAUACAACAACAACUUUACAUUGUCCAGUAAAAAAUUGCACUUUUUAUACUUAUGAACUUGGCGAACUUGUAACUCAUAACGCCGACAUUUGUGACUGUAAAGUAUUCUGGAAAUGUGCUGCUAAUGGAAAAGCUGUGAAAAUAAAUUGUCCUUCUACUCCGAGACAAUUAAUGUGGAACGAACAACUACAAGUUUGUGAUUAUUAUAGCAACAGUACCUGUGAAGCAAAACUAAACCGAACUGAAUGUCAAGAGUUGCAAAGAACAAACAUUUGUUACAAUAGUUAAAAAAUUCAUUUCAGCCCACUGUGCGUCGUUGGUUCUUGCCAAAUUGGACGAACAUGAAAGGAUUAAUUCGUUUUUUUAGUUUUAUUUGAAAAUUCAAGGAUUAUAUUUUAAGCAUUUUAAACAUCUCUGCCAAAAUUUCAUGGAGAUUUAAAUUAAAGUACUUGAAAAUUUUAUUUAAAAAAAAUUUACAAACAAAAUAAUCAAUUGAGACGAAGAAAAAUUAGAAUCGCUUGUCAAAAUACUCUUUUUGAUACUUUUGUGCGAACGUGAGUUAUCAAUAAAAGGGCCACGUUUCUUACCAUACGAGGCGUUAAUCACAUCACGUGCACACAAUAAAUCGUCCGUAAUAUCAUCAUCCAAUAAUUUAUCGCAGGUAGUACUCGAUUCGCUUACGUUUAUGUCAGAGAAACAAAUAUAUUUGUUUUUAACAAAAAAAAAAAAAACUGAAAUUCUUAACAAAUAUUCAUGAAAUUGAACCAACCGAAGUGAAAAACUGAAGUCGUUAAAAAGUUGUAAAAGACCUAAAUUUGCAUAUUUUGACCGAAAAAACAAAAUGCAGAAGAAAAGUAAUGAAUCGUGUUUUGUUAUAACCUAGCAGUUAAAUAAAUUUAGUUGUUUUCUUUUAUAAAGUCAAUGAUACUAAAAAGAAAAGUUAUUGUGUACGAAAAAAAUCUAAUCAAAGAACGCGUCAUGCACGUAUCGUUAAGUUUCGCCAUCAAUUCGUGAAAUGCAUUUCACAUUGAAAUUGAGCUCUUUUAUAAGUCUGUCUGUUAUUCUAUAUCACUUUGAAUACUUGUCAAAAAUUAUAAUUGAAAAUCUCAUAAAUUUAGGGAAAGCUUACAGUUACAGGACCUGGAUAAAGUAAGUGAACAUCUUUGCUUUUGUAAUGUUAAAGACCAUAUGAACCAAUGGAUCGACUCCUUCAAAUAUCAAGAAACGUAUCAAGAUUUCAGUUAGACCAAGACACACAAAAGAAUCUGCGCUAAAAAACCGAUUGAUUCCGAGAAGUGUAAAGCAAUUCAUAUCACAUGAACUUGUUCAUGCUAAAAAUCGUUUCUUAAGAUU